rnacentral:rRNA from 1 species
GAGUUUGAUCGUGGCUCAGAUUGAACGCUGGCGGCAGGCCUAACACAUGCAAGUCGAGCGGUAGAGAGAAGCUUGCUUCUCUUGAGAGCGGCGGACGGGUGAGUAAUGCCUAGGAAUCUGCCUGGUAGUGGGGAUAACGCUCGGAAACGGACGCUAAUACCGCAUACGUCCUACGGGAGGAAGCAGGGGACCUUCGGGCCUUGCGCUAUCAGAUGAGCCUAGGUCGGAUUAGCUAGUUGGUGAGGUAAUGGCUCACCAAGGCGACGAUCCGUAACUGGUCUGAGAGGAUGAUCAGUCACACUGGAACUGAGACACGGUCCAGACUCCUACGGGAGGCAGCAGUGGGGAAUAUUGGACAAUGGGCGAAAGCCUGAUCCAGCCAUGCCGCGUGUGUGAAGAAGGUCUUCGGAUUGUAAAGCACUUUAAGUUGGGAGGAAGGGCAGUAAAUUAAUACUUUGCUGUUUUGACGUUACCGACAGAAUAAGACACCGGCUAACUCUGUGCCAGCACG